AGCUUGCACAGGUGCUGCAUGGCUGUCGUCAGCUCGUGUCGUGAGAUGUUCGGUUAAGUCCGCUAACGAGCGCAACCCUCGCUGUGUGUUAUAUGUGUCACACGGGACUGCCGGUCUUAAAGCCGGAGGAAGGUGGGGAUGAUGUCAAGUCAGCAUGGCCUUUAUAUCCUGGGCUACACACACGCUACAAUGGCCAACACAAUAGGUUGCUAAGCCGCGAGGUGGCGCCAAUCCAUAAAGUUGGUCUCAGUUCAGAUUGUAGGCUGCAACCCGCCUGCAUGAAGAUGGAGUUGCUAGUAACCGCAGGUCAGCUAUACUGCGGUGAAUACGUUCCCGGGGCUU
rnacentral:rRNA from 1 species